rnacentral:rRNA from 1 species
UGGGGAAUAUUGGACAAUGGGCGAAAGCCUGAUCCAGCCAUGCCGCGUGAGUGACGAAGGCCUUAGGGUUGUAAAAUCCUUUCGCCGAGGACGAUAAUGACGGUACUCGGAGAAGAAGCUCCGGCUAACUUCGUGCCAGCAGCCGCGGUAAUACGAAGGGGGCUAGCGUUGUUCGGAUUUACUGGGCGUAAAGCGCACGUAGGCGGACUUUUAAGUCAGGGGUGAAAUCCCGGGGCUCAACCCCGGAACUGCCUUUGAUACUGGAAGUCUUGAGUAUGGUAGAGGUGAGUGGAAUUCCGAGUGUAGAGGUGAAAUUCGUAGAUAUUCGGAGGAACACCAGUGGCGAAGGCGGCUCACUGGACCAUUACUGACGCUGAGGUGCGAAAGCGUGGGGAGCAAACAGGAUUAGAUACCCCAGUAGUCCCUGAGCGGGCUGGCAAGGCGCAU